UUUCCGUAGGUGAACCUGCGGAAGGAUCAUUCAUAAUAAAGUGUUUAAUGGCACUUUUUAAAAAUCCAUAUCCACCUUGUGUGCAAUGUUAGAUCUCGUCAAUCUUGGCGAGAUUUUUAUACAUCAACUCAUUCUUUAACUAAUUUGUCUGAAAAAUAUUAUGAAUACUUAAUUCAAAAUACAACUUUCAACAACGGAUCUCUUGGCUCUC
rnacentral:misc_RNA from 1 species